rnacentral:tmRNA from 1 species
GGGGAUGUAAGGCUUUCGACAGAAAUUGAUCUUUCACAAACAGCCAUCCGGGGAUUGCGCUGUCUCCCCGUAGAUCCGUCCAGCGCAAACAUAAGUGCAAAUGCACGACUUCUCGCGGCUCAACUCCGCGAAGCGCUUUCUGUAAGAGCUCUGGCUUUUGCAGUUGCGUAAUCUUUUCUCCUUUGUGAGGAAAGUCGUCUCUUUCUUUGACAUCCGAUGGACUUAAGAGGCGUCACAUUAUCGGGUUAAGCUCCGUCGAAGCCUGCCGGCGGGGAUUAAAAUUUAAGGCUAAGUGGUAAGAGCUUUGUGUCCGAUUUUUAUUCUUACCGCCGAAAAUUAAAAGCCGGACUAUGAUGGUAGAAGUUUUUGAGAGAGGUUUUUGGACCCGGGUUCGAUUCCCGGCAUCUCCACCA